rnacentral:rRNA from 1 species
CAGCCGCCGCGGUAAUACGUAGGUGGCAAGCGUUGUCCGGAAUUAUUGGGCGUAAAGCGCGCGCAGGCGGAUCAGUCAGUCUGUCUUAAAAGUUCGGGGCUUAACCCCGUGAUGGGAUGGAAACUGCUGAUCUAGAGUAUCGGAGAGGAAAGUGGAAUUCCUAGUGUAGCGGUGAAAUGCGUAGAUAUUAGGAAGAACACCAGUGGCGAAGGCGACUUUCUGGACGAAAACUGACGCUGAGGCGCGAAAGCCAGGGGAGCGAACGGGAUUAGAUACCCCAGUAGUCCCUGUCUCUUAUACA